rnacentral:rRNA from 1 species
UACGUAGGGACCGAGCGUUGUCCGGAAUCAUUGGGCGUAAAGAGCGUGUAGGCGGCCUGUUAAGUCUUGCGUGAAAUCCCGGGGCUCAACCCCGAGCGGUCGUGAGAAACUGGCAGGCUAGAGUGCGGGAGAGGAGAGUGGAAUUCCUGGUGUAGCGGUGAAAUGCGCAGAUAUCAGGAAGAACACCAAUUGCGAAGGCAGCUCGCUGGGACGUUACUGACGCUGAGACGCGAAAGCGUGGGGAGCAAACAGG